CCAGCCCUAGCCCCAGUCCCAGUCCUAGUUCCUCAGUCCCGCCCAGCUUCUCUCGAAAGUCACUCUAAUUUUCAUUGAUUCAGUGCUCAAAAUAAGUUGUCCAUUGCUUAUCCUAUUAUACUGGGAUAUUCCGUUUACCCUUGGCAUUGCUGAUCUUCAGUACUGACUCCUUGACCAUUUUCAGUUAAUGCAUACAAUCCCAUUUGUCUGUGAUCUCAGGACAAAGAAUUUCCUUACUCGGUACGUUGAAGUUAGGGAAUGUCAAUUGAGAGCUUUCUAUCAGAGCAUUAUUGCCCACAAUUUGAGUUACUUAUCAUUUUCUCGAUCCCCUGCCCUUAAAGGAGAAACCAUUUCUCUGUCAUUGCUUCUGUAGUCACAGUCCCAAUUUUGAGUAGUGAUCUUUUCUUGUGUACUGUGUUGGCCACCUAAAACUCUUUGCAUUGAGUAAAAUUCUAAUUGCCAAUAAUCCUACCCAUUGGAUUAGACAGCACUCUGAACCCCAUUUGCAUUCAGCAGGGGGUCGCAGACAACCCGUCUUUUGUUGGACAGUUAAAAUGCUCAGUCCCAAUUGUCAUAGCUUUGCCUAUUAAACAAAGGCACCCUACUGCGCUUUUUGCUGUGCUUCUGGAGAAUCCUGCUGUUCUUGGACAAUUAAAGAACAAAGUAGUAAUUGCUAAUUGUCUCACCCAUUAAUCAUGAAGACUACCAGUCGCCCUUGCAUUUGCCUUGAGGCAGCGCUGACUACCUGAGAUUUAAGAGUUUCUUAAAUUAUUGAGUAAAAUCCCAAUUAUCCAUAGUUCUGUUAGUUACACUAUGGCCUUUGCAAACAUCUUUGCAUAACAGCAGUGGGACUGACUCAUUCUUAGAGCCCCUUCCCUUGGAAUAUUAAUGGAUACAAUAGUAAUUAUUCAUGGUUCUGCGUAACAGAGAAGACCCACUUAUGUGUAUGCCUUUAUCAUUGCUCCUAGAUAGUGUGAACUACCUACCACCUUGCAUUAAUAUGUAAAACACUAAUUGCCCAUAGUCCCACUCAUUAGUCUAGGAUGUCCUCUUUGCCAUUGCUGCUGAGUUCUGACUACCCAAGUUUCCUUCUCUUAAACAGUUGAUAUGCAUAAUUGCAUAUAUUCAUGGUUCUGUGCAAUAAAAAUGGAUUCUCACCCCAUCCCACCUUCUGUGGGAUGUUGCUAACGAGUGCAGAUUAUUCAAUAACAGCUCUUGAACAGUUAAUUUGCACAGUUGCAAUUGUCCAGAGUCCUGUCCAUUAGAAAGGGACUCUGUAUCCUAUUUGCACGCUACAAUGUGGGCUGAUCACCCAAGGACUCUUCUUGUGCAUUGAUGUUCAUAAUUGUAUUUGUCCACGAUCUUGUGCACUAACCCUUCCACUCCCUUUGUAUUCCAGCAGGGGACCCUUACUACUCAAGACCUCUGUACUAGGACAGUUUAUGUGCACAAUCCUAAUUGAUUAGAACUGAGUCUUUUAUAUCAAGGUCCCUGCAUCAUCUUUGCUUUACAUCAAGAGGGUGCUGGUUACCUAAUGCCCCUCCUCCAGAAAUUAUUGAUGUGCAAAAUGCAAUUUCCCUAUCUGCUGUUAGUCUGGGGUCUCAUCCCCUCAUAUUCCUUUUGUCUUACAGCAGGGGGUACUUGGGACUGUUAAUGCGCAUAAUUGCAAUUAUGGUCUUUUCCAUUAAAUUAAGAUCCCAACUGCUCACACCCUCUUAGCAUUACAGUAGAGGGUGCUAAUCACAAGGACAUUUCUUUUGUACUGUUAAUGUGCUACUUGCAUUUGUCCCUCUUCCUGUGCACUAAAGACCCCACUCACUUCCCUAGUGUUCAGCAGUGGAUGACCUCUAGUCAAGACCUUUGCACUAGGAUAGUUAAUGUGAACCAUGGCAACUGAUCACAACAAUGUCUUUCAGAUCAGAUCCAUUUUAUCCUCCUUGUUUUACAGCAAGGGAUAUUAAUUACCUAUGUUACCUUUCCCUGGGACUAUGAAUGUGCAAAAUUCCAAUGUUCAUGGUCUCUCCCUUUAAACCUAUAUUCUACCCCUUUUACAUUAUAGAAAGGGAUGCUGGAAACCCAGAGUCCUUCUCUUGGGACUCUUAAUGUGUAUUUCUAAUUAUCCAUGACUCUUAAUGUGCAUAUUUUCAAUUGCCUAAUUGAUUUCAAUUGUCUAAGACAUUUCAAAUGUCUAAUUGAUUAGAACUGAGUCUUUUAUAUCAAGCUAAUAUCUAGCUUUUAUAUCAAGCUAAUAUCUUGACUUCUCAGCAUCAUAGAAGGGGGUACUGAUUUCCUAAAGUCUUUCUUGAAUUUCUAUUAUGCAAAAUUGCCCUGAGGCCGGGUGUGGUGGCUCACACCUGUAAUCCCAGCACUUUGGGAGGCUGAGGUGGGAAGAUCCCUUACUGCCAGGAGUUUGAGACCAGCCUGGCCAACAUUAAAAAAAAAAAAAAGUAAGACAAUUGCCCUGGAAUCCCAUCCCCCUCACACCUCCUUGGCAAAGCAGCAGGAGUGCUAACUAGCUAGUGCUUCUUCUCUUAUACUGCUUAAAUGCGCAUAAUUAGCAGUAGUUGAUGUGCCCCUAUGUUAGAGUAGAAUCCCGCUUCCUUGCUCCAUUUGCAUUACUGCAGGAGCUUCUAACUAGCCUGAAUUCACUCUCUUGGACUGUUAAUGUGCAUACUUAUAUUUGCUGCUGUACUUUUUUACCAUGUAAGGACCCCACCCACUGUAUUUACAUCCCAGCUGGAAGUACCUACUACUUAAGACCCUUAGACUAGUAAAGUUAGCGUGCAUAAUCUUAGGUGUUAUAUACACAUUUUCAGUUGCAUACAGUUGUGCCUUUUAUCAGGACUCCUGUACUUAUCAAAGCAGAGAGUGCUAAUCAAUAUUAAGCCCUUCUCUUCGAACUGUAGAUGGCAUGUAAUUGCAGUUGUCAAUGGUCCUUCAAUUAGACUUGGGUUUCUGACCUAUCACACCCUCUUUGCUUUAUUGCAUGGGGUACUAUUCACUUAAGGCCCCUUUCUCAAACUGUUAAUGUGCCUAAUGACAAUUACAUCAGUAUCCUUCCUUUUGAAGGACAGCAUGGUUGGUGACACCUAAGGCCCCAUUUCUUGGCCUCCCAAUAUGUGUGAUUGUAUUUGUCGAGGUUGCUAUGCACUAGAGAAGGAAAGUGCUCCCCUCAUCCCCACUUUUCCCUUCCAGCAGGAAGUGCCCACCCCAUAAGACCCUUUUAUUUGGAGAGUCUAGGUGCACAAUUGUAAGUGACCACAAGCAUGCAUCUUGGACAUUUAUGUGCGUAAUCGCACACUGCUCAUUCCAUGUGAAUAAGGUCCUACUCUCCGACCCCUUUUGCAAUACAGAAGGGUUGCUGAUAACGCAGUCCCCUUUUCUUGGCAUGUUGUGUGUGAUUAUAAUCGUCUGGGAUCCUAUGCACUAGAAAAGGAGGGUCCUCUCCACAUACCUCAGUCUCACCUUUCCCUUCCAGCAGGGAGUGCCCACUCCAUAAGACUCUCACAUUUGGACAGUCAAGGUGCGUAAUUGUUAAGUGAACACAACCAUGCACCUUAGACAUGGAUUUGCAUAACUACACACAGCUCAACCUAUCUGAAUAAAAUCCUACUCUCAGACCCCUUUUGCAGUACAGCAGGGGUGCUGAUCACCAAGGCCCUUUUUCCUGGCCUGGUAUGCGUGUGAUUAUGUUUGUCCCGGUUCCUGUGUAUUAGACAUGGAAGCCUCCCCUGCCACACUCCACCCCCAAUCUUCCUUUCCCUUCCGGCAGGGAGUGCCCUCUCCAUAAGACGCUUACGUUUGGACAAUCAAGGUGCACAGUUGUAAGUGACCACAGGCAUACACCUUGGACAUUAAUGUGCAUAACCACUUUGCCCAUUCCAUCUGAAUAAGGUCCUACUCUCAGACCCCUUUUGCAGUACAGCAGGGGUGCUGAUCACCAAGGCCCCUUUUCUUGGCCUGUUAUGUGCGUGAUUAUAUUUGUCUGGGUUCCUGUGUAUUAGACAAGGAAGCCUUCCCCCCGCCCCCACCCCCACUCCCAGUCUUCCUUUCCCUUCCAGCAGGGAGUGCCCCCUCCAUAAGAUCAUUACAUUUGGACAAUCAAGGUGCACAAUUAUAAGUGACCACAGCCAUGCACCUUGGACAUUAUUGGACAUUAAUGUGCGUAACUGCACAUGGCCCAUCCCAUCUGAAUAAGGUCCUACUCUCAGAUGCCCUUUGCAGUACAGCAGGGGUACUGAAUCACCAAGGCCCUUUUUCUUGGCCUGUUAUGUGUGUGAUUAUAUUUAUCCCAGUUUCUGUGUAAUAGACAUGAAAGCCUCCCCUGCCACACCCCACCUCCAAUCUUCCUUUCCCUUCCACCAGGGAGUGUCCACUCCAUAUACCCUUACAUUUGGACAAUCAAGGUGCACAAUUGUAAGUGAGCAUAGGCACUCACCUUGGACAUGAAUGUGCAUAACUGCACAUGGCCCAUCCCAUCUGAAUAAGGUCCUACUCUCAGACCCUUUUUGCAGUACAGCAGGGGUGCUGAUCACCAAGGCCCCUUUUCCUGGCCUGUUAUGUGUGUGAUUAUAUUUGUUCCAGUUCCUGUGUAAUAGACAUGGAAGCCUCCCCUGCCACACUCCACCCCCAAUCUUCCUUUCCCUUCUGGCAGGAAGUACCCGCUCCAUAAGACCCUUACAUUUGGACAGUCAAGGUGCACAAUUGUAUGUGACCACAACCAUGCACCUUGGACAUAAAUGUGUGUAACUGCACAUGGCCCAUCCCAUCUGAAUAAGGUCCUACUCUCAGACCCCUUUUGCAGUACAGUAGGUGUGCUGAUAACCAAGGCCCCUCUUCCUGGCCUGUUAACGUAUGUGAUUAUAUUUGUCUGGGUUCCAGUGUAUAAGACAUGGAAGCCUCCCCUGCCCCACCCCACCCUCAAUCUUCCUUUCCCUUCUGGCAGGGAGUGCCAGCUCCAUAAGAACCUUACAUUUGGACAGUCAAGGUGCACAAUUCUAAGUGACCGCAGCCAUGCACCUUGGUCAAUAAUGUGUGUAACUGCACACGGCCUAUCUCAUCUGAAUAAGGCCUUACUCUCAGACCCCUUUUGCAGUACAGCAGGGGUGCUGAUAACCAAGGCCCAUUUUCCUGGCCUGUUAUGUGUGUGAUUAUAUUUGUCCAGGUUUCUGUGUACUAGACAAGGAAGCCUCCUCUGCCCCAUCCCAUCUACGCAUAAUCUUUCUUUUCCUCCCAGCAGGGAGUGCUCACUCCAUAAGACCCUUACAUUUGGACAAUCAAGGUGCACAAUUGUAAGUGACCACAACCAUGCAUCUUGGAAAUUUAUGUGCAUAACUGCACAUGGCUUAUCCUAUUUGAAUAAAGUCCUACUCUCAGACCCCCUUUGCAGUAUAGCUGGGGUGCUGAUCACUGAGGCCUCUUUGCUUGGCUUGUCUAUAUUCUUGUGUACUAGAUAAGGGCACCUUCUCAUGGACUCCCUUUGCUUUUCAACAAGGAGUACCCACUACUUUUUAAGAUUCUUAUAUUUGUCCAAAGUACAUGGUUUUAAUUGACCACAACAAUGUCCCUUGGACAUUAAUGUAUGUAAUCACCACAUGGUUCAUCCUAAUUAAACAAAGUUCUACCUUCUCACCCUCCAUUUGCAGUAUACCAGGGUUGCUGACCCCCUAAGUCCCCUUUUCUUGGCUUGUUGACAUGCAUAAUUGCAUUUAUGUUGGUUCUUGUGCCCUAGACAAGGAUGCCCCACCUCUUUUCAAUAGUGGGUGCCCACUCCUUAUGAUCUUUACAUUUGAACAGUUAAUGUGAAUAAUUGCAGUUGUCCACAACCCUAUCACUUCUAGGACCAUUAUACCUCUUUUGCAUUACUGUGGGGUAUACUGUUUCCCUCCAAGGCCCCUUCUGGUGGACUAUCAACAUAUAAUUGAAAUUUUCUUUUGUCUUUGUCAGUAGAUUAAGGUCAUACCCCAUCACCUUUCCUUUGUAGUACAACAGGGUGUCCUGAUCAACCAAAGUCCUGUUGUUUUGGACUGUUAAUAUGUGCAAUUACAUUUGCUCCUGAUCUGUGCACUAGAUAAGGAUCCUACCUACUUUCUUAGUGUUUUUAGCAGGUAGUGCCCACUACUCAAGACUGUCACUUGGAAUGUUCAUGUGCACAAACUCAAUUCUCUAAGCAUGUUCCUGUACCACCUUUGCUUUAGAGCAGGGGGAUGAUAUUCACUAAGUGCCCCUUCUUUUGGACUUAAUAUGCAUUAAUGCAAUUGUCCACCUCUUCUUUUAGACUAAGAGUUGAUCUCCACAUAUUCCCCUUGCAUCAGGGGCAUGUUAAUUAUGAAUGAACCCUUUUCUUUUAAUAUUAAUGUCAUAAUUGUAUUUGUGGACCUGUGUAGGAGAAAAAGACCCUAUGUUCCUCCCAUUACCCUUUGGAUUGCUGCUGAGAAGUGUUAACUACUCAUAAUCUCAGCUCUUGGACAAUUAAUAGCAUUAAUAACAAUUAUCAAGGGCACUGAUCAUUAGAUAAGACUCCUGCUUCCUCGUUGCUUACAUCGGGGGUACUGACCCACUAAGGCCCCUUGUACUGUUAAUGUGAAUAUUUGCAAUUAUAUAUGUCUCCUUCUGGUAGAGUGGGAUAUUAUGCCCUAGUAUCCCCUUUGCAUUACUGCAGGGGCUGCUGACUACUCAAAACUUCUCCUGGGACUGUUAAUAGGCACAAUGGCAGUUAUCAAUGGUUUUCUCCCUCCCUGACCUUGUUAAGCAAGCGCCCCACCCCACCCUUAGUUUCCCAUGGCAUAAUAAAGUAUAAGCAUUGGAGUAUUCCAUGCACUUGUCUAUCAAACAGUGGUCCAUACUCCCAACCCUUUUGCAUUGCGCCAGUGUGUAAAAUCACAGGUAGCCAUGGUGUCAUGCUUUAUAUACGAAGUCUUCCCUCUCUCUGCCCCUUGUGUGCCCUUGGCCCCUUUUUACAGACUAUUGCUCACAAUCUCAGGUGUCCAUAUUUGCAGCUAUUAGGUAAGAUUGUGCUGUCUCCCUCUUCCCUUCCCUCUGCCCUGCCCCUUUUGCCUCUUUGCUGGGUAAUGUUGACCAGACAAGGCCCUUUCUCUUGGACUUAAACAAUUCUCAGUUGCACUUUCCUUGGUCCCACCCAUUAUACAUGAACCCCUCUACUUCCUUUCGCAUUGCUUCUGAGUAUGCUGACUACCCAAAGCCCCUUCUGUGUUAUUAAUAAACACAGUACUGAUUGUCCCAUUUUUCAGCCCAUCAGUCCAAGAUCUCCCUACCACUUUGGUGUGUUGGUGCAGUGUUGACUAUGAAAAGCAGGCCUGAACUAGGUGGAUAAGCCUUCACUCAUUUUCUUUCAUUUAUUAAUGAUCCUAGUUUCAAUUAUUGUCAGAUUCUGGGGACAAGAACCAUUCUUGCCCACCUGUGUUACUGCUUUACUGUGCAAAAUACUGAAGGCAAGUCAGACCCAGGGAGCUGGAUUGCCAUCCUUUAUUUUGUGUUUCCAGUGUACACUAUAAAAUUGUCUCCCCAGGAAGGAAGGUUGGCACUUUCUCUGCAUUCUUCUUUCCAGAGCAGAUUGCCUGGUUAAGAAUCUCUUGUUGUCCCCUUUGUAUAUUGUUAUUGUAAAGUGCCAAAUGCCAGGAUACAGCCAGAAAAAUUGCUUAUUAUUAUUAAAAAAAUUUUUUUAAGAAAGACAUCUGGAUUGUAGGGUGGACUCGAUAACCUGGUCAUUAUUUUUUUGAAGCCAAAAUAUCCAUUUAUACUAUGUACCUGGUGACCAGUGUCUCUCAUUUUAACUGAGGGUGGUGGGUCUGUGGAUAGAACACUGACUCUUGCUAUUUUAAUAUCAAAGAUAUUCUAGAGUGGAACUCUUAAGACCAGUAUCUUUGUGUGGGCUUUACCAGCAUUCACUUUUAGAAAAACUACCUAAAUUUUAUAAUCCUUUAAUUUCUUCAUCUGGAGCACCUGCCCCUACUUAUUUCAAGAAGAUUGCAGUAAAACGAUUAAAUGAGGGAACAUAUGCAGAGGUGCUUUUAAAAAGCAUAUGCCACCUUUUUUAUUAAUUAUUAUAUAAAAUGAAGCAUUUAAUUAUAGUAAUAAUUUGAAGUAGUUUGAAGUACCACACUGAGGUGAGGACUUAAAAAUGAUAAGACGAGUUCCCUAUUUUAUAAGAAAAAUAAGCCAAAAUUAAAUAUUCUUUUGGAUAUAAAUUUCAACAGUGAGAUAGCUGCCUAGUGGAAAUGAAUAAUAUCCCAGCCACUAGUGUACAGGGUGUUUUGUGGCACAGGAUUAUGUAAUAUGGAACUGCUCAAGCAAAUAACUAGUCAUCACAACAGCAGUUCUUUGUAAUAACUGAAAAAGAAUAUUGUUUCUCGGAGAAGGAUGUCAAAAGAUCGGCCCAGCUCAGGGAGCAGUUUGCCCUACUAGCUCCUCGGACAGCUGUAAAGAAGAGUCUCUGGCUCUUUAGAAUACUGAUCCCAUUGAAGAUACCACGCUGCAUGUGUCCUUAGUAGUCAUGUCUCCUUAGGCUCCUCUUGGACAUUCUGAGCAUGUGAGACCUGAGGACUGCAAACAGCUAUAAGAGGCUCCAAAUUAAUCAUAUCUUUCCCUUUGAGAAUCUGGCCAAGCUCCAGCUAAUCUACUUGGAUGGGUUGCCAGCUAUCUGGAGAAAAAGAUCUUCCUCAGAAGAAUAGGCUUGUUGUUUUACAGUGUUAGUGAUCCAUUCCCUUUGACGAUCCCUAGGUGGAGAUGGGGCAUGAGGAUCCUCCAGGGGAAAAGCUCACUACCACUGGGCAACAACCCUAGGUCAGGAGGUUCUGUCAAGAUACUUUCCUGGUCCCAGAUAGGAAGAUAAAGUCUCAAAAACAACCACCACACGUCAAGCUCUUCAUUGUUCCUAUCUGCCAAAUCAUUAUACUUCCUACAAGCAGUGCAGAGAGCUGAGUCUUCAGCAGGUCCAAGAAAUUUGAACACACUGAAGGAAGUCAGCCUUCCCACCUGAAGAUCAACAUGCCUGGCACUCUAGCACUUGAGGAUAGCUGAAUGAAUGUGUAUUUCUUUGUCUCUUUCUUUCUUGUCUUUGCUCUUUGUUCUCUAUCUAAAGUGUGUCUUACCCAUUUCCAUGUUUCUCUUGCUAAUUUCUUUCGUGUGUGCCUUUGCCUCAUUUUCUCUUUUUGUUCACAAGAGUGGUCUGUGUCUUGUCUUAGACAUAUCUCUCAUUUUUCAUUUUGUUGCUAUUUCUCUUUGCUCUCCUAGAUGUGGCUCUUCUUUCACGCUUUAUUUCAUGUCUCCUUUUUGGGUCACAUGCUGUGUGCUUUUUGUCCUUUUCUUGUUCUGUCUACCUCUCCUUUCUCUGCCUACCUCUCUUUUCUCUUUGUGAACUGUGAUUAUUUGUUACCCCUUCCCCUUCUCGUUCGUUUUAAAUUUCACCUUUUUUCUGAGUCUGGCCUCCUUUCUGCUGUUUCUACUUUUUAUCUCACAUUUCUCAUUUCUGCAUUUCCUUUCUGCCUCUCUUGGGCUAUUCUCUCUCUCCUCCCCUGCGUGCCUCAGCAUCUCUUGCUGUUUGUGAUUUUCUAUUUCAGUAUUAAUCUCUGUUGGCUUGUAUUUGUUCUCUGCUUCUUCCCUUUCUACUCACCUUUGAGUAUUUCAGCCUCUUCAUGAAUCUAUCUCCCUCUCUUUGAUUUCAUGUAAUCUCUCCUUAAAUAUUUCUUUGCAUAUGUGGGCAAGUGUACGUGUGUGUGUGUCAUGUGUGGCAGAGGGGCUUCCUAACCCCUGCCUGAUAGGUGCAGAACGUCGGCUAUCAGAGCAAGCAUUGUGGAGCGGUUCCUUAUGCCAGGCUGCCAUGUGAGAUGAUCCAAGACCAAAACAAGGCCCUAGACUGCAGUAAAACCCAGAACUCAAGUAGGGCAGAAGGUGGAAGGCUCAUAUGGAUAGAAGGCCCAAAGUAUAAGACAGAUGGUUUGAGACUUGAGACCCGAGGACUAAGAUGGAAAGCCCAUGUUCCAAGAUAGAUAGAAGCCUCAGGCCUGAAACCAACAAAAGCCUCAAGAGCCAAGAAAACAGAGGGUGGCCUGAAUUGGACCGAAGGCCUGAGUUGGAUGGAAGUCUCAAGGCUUGAGUUAGAAGUCUUAAGACCUGGGACAGGACACAUGGAAGGCCUAAGAACUGAGACUUGUGACACAAGGCCAACGACCUAAGAUUAGCCCAGGGUUGUAGCUGGAAGACCUACAACCCAAGGAUGGAAGGCCCCUGUCACAAAGCCUACCUAGAUGGAUAGAGGACCCAAGCGAAAAAGUUUCUGGCAUCACUACCACUACUGAUUAAACAAGAAUAAGAGAACAUUUUAUCAUCAUCUGCUUUAUUCACAUAAAUGAAGUUGUGAUGAAUAAAUCUGCUUUUAUGCAGACACAAGGAAUUAAGUGGCUUCGUCAUUGUCCUUCUACCUCAAAGAUAAUUUAUUCCAAAAGCUAAGAUAAAUGGAAGACUCUUGAACUUGUGAACUGAUGUGAAAUGCAGAAUCUCUUUUGAGUCUUUGCUGUUUGGAAGAUUGAAAAAUAUUGUUCAGCAUGGGUGACCACCAGAAAGUAAUCUUAAGCCAUCUAGAUGUCACAAUUGAAACAAACUGGGGAGUUGGUUGCUAUUGUAAAAUAAAAUAUACUGUUUUGAAAACUUUGUAUUUUGAUGUGACAAUUUCUAACUCACUGUCCCUAA
rnacentral:lncRNA from 1 species